GUGGCAAAGAGAGAGAAAUUUGCAACUUUUUGAAGAUUGUCUGAGAUGUUGACGCGUGGCAGAGAGAGAAAUUUGAAUUUCAUUCUGAAAUUUGAAUUUCAGAAGGGUUUCGUUUCACUUUUGGGAAUCCCAUUUCGAAUCCCAUUUCGUCACCAAAUCGCAACCCAUUUCGAACCCCGCCGUCUGACCAUCUCCUGCUCACCGGAAAGACUGCCACCGCACUCCGGUUGUCCGACAUCGUCCGCAUCACCGCCGUCUUCCAUCCACCAAGGAAGCUUCGGUUCCAUUUGCUCGACGGUCAAUCCCCUAAACCCUAAUCCUGGUGAGUGCAAAAAUUUUUCAUGUGCUUGAGUUUGUGGAGUUGGUUUUUUGAGUUGUGCUUAAUGUUUUUUGAGGCAUGUGUUUAAUGCAAAAAUUUUGUUUUCAUGUUUUUUGUGUUCUCUGUUUCGUGAAUGUUGGGGUUUGAUUCAACACGCACCUUGUAAUGUUAUAUUAUUUUGGUUUGAUAAGACAAUGAACCCCUCUGUGCAAAACUCGUAACACAAGUACCCACUUAUUCGAACUAUAGUCCCAGUUGAUUUUAUAAAAUUACUUAUGUUGUUUAACAUGAUAAGUUGGGGGCUUGGGUUCAUAUUAGCAUUACAACGAUGUGUCCUUGUCUUAAGAACAUGGUAAUGGUCAGGAUAAUAACUAAUUUUGAGGAUGAAAGAUGGAUUGAUAAGACAAUGAACCCCUCUGUGCAAAACUCGUAACACAAGUACCCACUUAUUCGAACUAUAGUCCCCCUUAAAAAUACUGAACUUA
rnacentral:lncRNA from 1 species